CUCAUGCUGCUUGCUGUCUGUGGGGAGUCCUUGAUCCAGCUCAGCAUGCAAAGGGUGUAAAGGUGCUCACGUUGGCACACAGACAGGACAAACAUGCCUGGUGUGGAAGUAAACUGACUGCAAAAAUGUAGCCAUCCCACUCCAUAGCAUCAGUCUGAAAUAUCUAGCAGGUAUCAGACAGAGGUUUAAAUCCAAAACAAAUUAGCAAAAAACAAAAAUUAAAAGGCAGCUCAUCUGCAGCAGCUAAAAACCACAGUUUUCAUAAAUCGUCUGCAAGAACUAGGUGCAUCUUGUAAUUCAUAUUUCUGCUGUUCCACAGUUCUCAUUGCAGCAGAGAUGGAAAAUAUCCCCUUCAGGUUUUGCUGUAUAUCUGCAGUGAUGGGAAGAUAAACAUCCCUGUAAUAUAUCAGUGUUGACAUUCAGAAGACUUCCAAACUUUGCUUUUUAAAUCAAAUGGAAAAGUUAGCUUUGAGCCUCUUCACUCUGUAGGAAGAAUGGGCAAGUGUUUUGUUUUUUUUCCUUUGCCACAUCUUACAUAAAUCUGACAUCCCUUACAAAUCUGCAGUUGCCAUACUGUCAGGAAUUACAGAACUGGAAGUGCUAUACUAAACAGAAGAAAAAUAUGCUAUAUACAGGUAAAACACUAUGUCUGAAGGAACAGCUAAUGCAUAGACUUAAAGUGUUCAUGUUCUGUUGAAAUUAUUUAAAAUGGAAAGGUGCCUGGCACUUUAUUUUUAAGCUGUUAUUUUUUUAAUUGAAGUGAAUUAAAAAGUGAAAAGUUCCAGGUUGUGCUGGAAUUUUUGCAUUGUUUUUUUGGUUUACUUUAUUUAUAUCAUUUACUGAAAAUACUUAGUAUGAUAGUGAAUCAGUCUGUUUUUUUCUGUCUUAACUUACAAUAUUUGUCCAAGUCUGUAUCGGACAAUAAAGUAAUGUACUGAGAAAAUGUUGAUUUGGAUAACUUGCAUAUGACAGUCUUAAACAGGGCAUAUACCUUUUAUGUUGUGCUGUUGUCAUUUGUGUGUAAAAACUUCUCAGAAGAAAGCAUGUUGUCCCAAAAGGUGACUGAUUAUUGACAGCAGUAAUACUGGCAUGGUUGACAACCAUGGGAAUGUAGGGUGUCUUAAAGAAGAAGCUCUUUUAUAUUGCUUUUCCUUUACCAUUUUCUAUAUACUAUACAAUCUAUAUAAUAUUUCUAUAAUAAAUUUCUAUAUAAUUUUGCAGUUCAUUGAACAGUAGCAAAACAGUGGAUUUGUGUGUGUGUGUGUAUUUUGAUUAGAGUAUCAAAAUCCUUGUAGAUUUUGGUUUCUUUUGCUGAUUCUGUUUUGAUGUACAGUAAACAAUUCUGUACUGUUUACUGUCCUGUCCUGGUACAUUUGCCAGUUCAUCCUUCUGUGGUAUUUGAUGCCUGAGGUAUGUAGCUUCUCUCCUAUACUGGAGAUUGAAAUACUGACAAUUUUCUUCUUUUGCAGUUCCUCCUCCUGGGAGGCAUUGUCUCACUCCCCAGUCAGACUAAAGUAUGAGCUGCCUUACUGGCUCUUCAUUUUCCAGCUACAGGCCAGAUUUUCCUGUGUUAGAGACAACAGACUCUCUUUCCCAGGGACUGCAGAAAGCUUUUGGAUUGAGUUUUCUGACAGGCUUUAACAAAAUUGUCUUUGUUAGAAGUUAAAGUGCAAGGCUAGCACGUAAAGGUCGUGAUUCAGUGAACUGUGUUCCAUUCAAACACCCAUUUAAUGAACUGGAUAGAUCAUAAGUAGACUUUGUAGUUUCUCUUCUAUGUAAGAUGCAGUAAAUGAAGGGCACAGUUUUCAUAAAUGCAGUUAUUAGCAGCUGUGUUUGAAACCCACAAGUAAUGCACAUGCCUAGGGCUUGUGGAAGUCCCUCCAGAUGGAAACAGCAUUACUGGGGUGAUUAUACCCUGAGGAAAGGCUCACUGUCAUUUUGAGAUCAAUUUUUAGCCAAUAUUCCAUUCUCAGUAUUUACAUGGAGAGUCUGAAUUGCCAGAACUUCAGAUUUCAUAACAAAACUGUUAACAAGAAGUGAACAUUUGUUGGAAAGAUUGAGUUGCUGCAGAGAAAUGCCUGUUGCUGUACUGGUUGGAUGGUGAUAGUAUCCUGCAGACAGAGGCACCGUGCUGAGAAAGCUGACUUCCAUGUUUUCUGAGCAAGAAGGAUCCUCAUGCAUCUUUCUUUGUGUGUGCUGUACCCCCCAUUGAUGGGUGAACAGUGGAAUGCUACAGUCCUAUUGCUGAGGAGUCAGUGCAGAUGGGAGAAUGCUGUUCACUUGCAUCUUCCCCAGAUAUAUGGUCAGAAAUGCCAGCCAUAGUGUACCUCAGCUAGAAGCACAAAGAUCAUGUUAAAAGUCUGCAUCUCUGAACCUCCCUUAUGUAAGGAGAUCCCUCAGGAGAUGUUCAGGGCUAGAAGUUAAUCCUUGGUGGCAUGUUAGGGGAAGGCAGUGGGAUGUCAGUUCACAGUGUUGACUUGGAGAGUAAUGUUUUGAUCAUUAGCCUCAUACAGCUUCAAGUUUAUAUGGUGGCACCACGGCGGAUCACCUGCACUGACACAGUAAAUAUCAGGGGAGUGCAUUAUGUGACAUUCAGGUGCAGCGUGGCCGCCUUUCUGAUUGGCCCCAUGGUCUCAAGGUGCCCACAGUGGCUUCCACGCUCCAAAUAAAAACACUGCAUGGCAAGUGCAGAGAAAUGUGCAAAGCUGGAAGCACAGGCUGGUUUAGUGGAGCCCAUUUAGGAAGUUUGUGGAUUAUAUUAUAGCAUUCUUGCUAGCUAUCUAAAAGAUGCAGAUACCCCAGCUGUACUAACACAUUAUGUGGCUUCUAAAGCAAAGCUAUAAGAUAGAUUUUUAUAUUCAUCAUGUUUACCUCACAGCAAAACAAACAAUAUCACUAGCUGUAUGUGUCACAGAAAGAGCAGUCUAUUUACCAAGAUUGAUUUGUCAGUUCAAUAUAUUGGUUUUUUAUUAGUUUAGUGUUGCUGCAGGCUUUUUUUUUUCUUUUUAUGCUUCAAAUGGAUGUGCUGUGUUGAUUUUUGGGGGGUUUUUUAAGUAUUUGGUGCAGAUAAGAACUUCUCUUACCUCAAUGGCUCAGUAGUCUAUAACUAAUUUAUUGGCAAACACUACACACAUUCUCCUAUGUAGGAAAGACCAGGAAUGAAGGGCCAAGGAAAGAUGAGAUCAAAUCGCAGAAAACACAAUUGGUCACAAGUUAUUUCCCUUCUCUUGUCUAGUCAAGCCGUGCACAAGGUAAUUACAUACUCUGAAUUUUGGAGAUCUUAAAGGACUUCAGAUGAAUCUUGCAGAAGUGGGUUUUAGACUGUAUGUAUAAUUUGCAUACAAUGCAGUUUUUGGAUUUAGCUGACUGUUUCAUUGAAGAAGCUUUAAAAAUGGUAGAGCUGAUCAAAUUCUAAAAAGCAAUUUUAAAAAAAAGACAGAAGUAGACUGUGGUAAAGUUUAAGAAUGGUUACAGUAUUUCAAGGUAAAUCAAAAUCUAGUCAUGCGGUUUGCUCCUUAAGAGCAAGAAAUAUGAAAUGAGAUUGGCAUAUCUGUCUUUAAAAAUUGAGGCAGACAAGAUAUAGCACAGAAAAGUGCAUCCUUUGAUCAUGCGUGUCUAUUAGUGAUGGAUUUAUUAUAUUGUAAAUGUCAUUUACUUGCUGAGUUAUAUAAAAGAAAUGCAUGAUUUUUGAAUAUCCAUCUGUCCCAGAUGACUGAGAAAGAAGAAUGAAGUUCCUCUGCAGGCUUGAACCAGUGCAGUGUUCAUUGCUGAUGCCUGGAGAGCCAGAAAAGUUGGCCUCAGCUACUUAGAACAUGAUGAUUGAUGGUAGUUCUUGUUUCUUUCUGAGGCUUUUUCUGAAAAAUAAUAGAAGUUGGAUUUUAUCUAUAGUAAAGUUAUAGAUUAUAUAUUGUAACUCUUUUAAUUCAAGGGAAUGUUCGUGUUGUGGUUUAAGCCCAGUGAGCAGCUCAGCCCCAGGCAGCUGCUCCCCCACUCCCCCACCAGUGGGAUCAGGGGGAGAAUUGGAUUGGUAAAAGUGAGAAAACUCAUGUGCUGAGAUGAAAACAGUUUAAUAGGGAAAGCAAAAGCUGAGCACACAAGCAAAGCAAAAAGGAGUUUGGGUCACCUGUCCUGGCUGUGUCCCCUCCCAACCUCCCAACCUCCCAGUCAUCCUGUCUUCUCCCCAGGGUGGCAGACUGAAAAGCAGAAAAGGCCUUGGCUCUGUGCAUCUCCUGCUCGGCAAUAACAAAAACAUCUCCACAUUAUCAUCCCUGUGUUCAGCACAAAUCCAAAACACAGCCCCAUACCAGCCACUGGGAAGAAAAUUAAUUCUACCUCAGCCAAAGCCAGCAUAGCUUGUUUUUACAUGCUUAUCUCUACAGCUUGAAACUGAGUUACUUAAAUUUUUAUUGUUUCAGUCCAAAAGAAACCGUUUUUUCUAUUUCUUUUUUCAGUUUAUAGAGAAUAUUCAUAAAAUGGGCUUGGUCCUGGUAAAAUAAAAAGCCUUGCUACUUCCUAAUCCACUGUGUAAUAGUGCUACACAGAAAAAAGGAGAAUAAUUUUUUGGAAUGAAAUGAAGCUGGACAGAGGACAUCUUGGAAAUUCUUAAAAAUUCCCAACAUCCAUAUAAAUAAACAUGAGUUCUAUUUUUAAGAUCUCAUUGAAACAUAUGCAUAAAAUGAAGGAUGUUCCUAGAGUGAAACAGAACGUGGAAGGAACAAUGACUCAACUAGAAAGGUCACAAGCUUCAUUUAAUGUUGAAAUGUAGUGAUGAGAACAAAUCUUGUAUUGAAGCUCUUGAGUGAUGCUGUGUUUUAAGCCUUUUCAUCUUGGGGGGCACAGCUUCCCAGGAAAAAAGGAUGAAGGAGGUUUUUGGGAUGGGAAAGAGAUGUUUGUUAUUGCUGGACUACUGAGGGCUGUGGAAUAAAGUUCUUGGCAAUUGUAGCAAAGCCCUGAGUGUGAGUGUGGUACUGGCUGAGACCAGCUGCAGGGCAGGGCAGACGAGGUGGUGCAGCUGAGGAUCACAGAAUGCAGGAGUGAAAUGAGAAAUCACCAGAGAAAACAUCCAAGUGACAGAGGUGUUGGUCUUCUGGACUGUGGCAGUGUUGCUGCAAACUAUUCCAUUCUCAUGUCUGCUUUGUCUUUCUUCCAUUUGGUUGCAAAAACUGCAGGAAUUGUCAAACAUGUGACAGUGUAUACGUGUGGCAUCAGUAGAACAAUACUGUAGAAAGAGUCGGACUAUAUGGAUCAGCACGUACUAUGUGGCUAAGACAUCAAUACAACACUAUUUUCAGGUAUUCAGGCUAUUUUUCCUCUUAAUUUUUAUUAAUCAGUAAGGUUGCAUAUUUGCAUUUCUAAAAAAAAGUCCUCUUUUGCUAACCUCUCAUUGCAGUGCAAAGACAAUAAAAAAAUUUAAUUCUUUCCCUCUUCAUUUUUUUAAUGAAGAGGGUAAGAAAUACUCCAGGAGUCAUGAAGACUUGAAAUCUGGAGGCCUUUUCACAUCUUACAGUCAGCUCAGCAUAGAGAUGGUGCUAUUGUCCAUUUUGUUCUUAAUACUCGUAAUUUUUCCAGUUAAGCAUUCAUAAAAUCCCUCUAAAAAAGAAAAGUUGUGGACAGGUUCUAAUUAUGAUAUGUUUCCCUUUUUUCUCUUGCAUCAUAGGUUGAAAAGGUGUUAGUUAUUCAAAGUAUUGUAAAGCAAUUUGCUACAGCUUAAGUAUGCUUCUGAUUAAACACUGUUGUCAAAAUCUGGUUGUAUUGCUUCAAGCCACAUAGCCCUGGGCAAAUGUGGUACUCCUAAUCACUUAGAGAGGGAGAGAAGAUAAAAACAUCCUUCAUUUUGUGCCAUCAUUUCUGCAGUCCAGUUUUCAAAGAGAUUUCCUGAUAUUUAUCUUUUGCCUGGAAGCAAGAGCUGGAAAUAUUUCUUGCUAUCACCUUCUACCCUUCUCAAAUAGGGUAAGCAAUGGCAUCAUCCUCAUCAGAACAUGGUAAACAAAACUGAAAAUUUGAGAGAAAUGAAAAGGAGAACGGAAGGUGGCAUUUGAACUAAGUAUGGAGCAGUAAAUGUUUACAGAAAUGAGCAAUGAUGAUACGGAUUAGAACCACCAGAAUUCUGAGUAUUUGGAGAUUUCCCAUAGCCUUCAUCUGCUUGAACAUUGUUCUGGAGUUGGCUGUGUCCCUAGAAGCCAGUUUCAUGCACUUGUUUUUUGGAAAUGCCUUGUGCUUGUGCUGCUUUACUCCUCCUGUGAUACCUACAGCUGCUGGCCCAUCAGCUUCAGGAGCAAGUCAUCUUGCUGAUCCUUUUGUGCAGCAAGGCACCCUCCAAGUUGAGGAGCUGAAAAAUAAUUAUUUUCAUUGCGUUUUUUUAAGUGACAAAAAGGUUUAACUUUCUAGGCAAUAAGUGUUGGCCUUUCUGUGCAUAGAUGCAACUUGACAUCUCCUGAAACUUGAUGUCGUGAGUGGCACCAGGAAAAGAAUGAAACCUAAAAUUGAUUGGAUCCUUAGUGUCUCUGUUCUCAAGACUAAACAAGAAACUAGACAUUAUCUUGGAAAGACGUGUCAGAGUCUGAUGACUUUGCUUACCUGGAACAGAUUUUCUUCCUGGUGCUGCAGUAGAAGAUCUGUACCCCAGGGCCUGGUGCUCUCCUUCUCUUCAGCCUCUUCAUGGGACUUGGCUGUUAUCAUAACAGCGUUCUGAACAACUGAAACACAAUAAAAUGUCAAAUGGCUGCAUUUAGCAUGAAAUUAGUCAACUGGCAUACAAAUUAGUUUGGGGUUUUUUUUUUAAUUUUUGUGGUGUCUCAUCUAUGGUGUAGUAACCCAUAUGGUGUAUUUGAGGGUAAAUAUAAUUAACAGGUGCUUUUUUCUUGGCUUGGAGCUCUGAGUCACUGCAGUCUCUGUUUAAGAAUGAAUUAAUGUGGGUGAUACUCUACAGAAGUUCAUAGUUGAACUGCCAUGCUAAAUACAUGCUAAUGACAAUGUAGGCUGCAGUAUGUAGAAAUGUAUUUAUCUGUUGGGCAGGGAAAGAGGGAAGGCUAUGGGUGUUUAAAAAGCUGUUGGUGGCAGACUGUUCUACAGUCACUGGAUCAGCUGGUGGUUUAUUAGAUCAGUCUUAAGUGUUUAACCUCAACUGACUUACCUUGUGUGAUGUACAGUAUUUGUGUUGCCUCAGUUUGUGUCAAGAAGAGAGCCAGGAUCAGUGCAGGCAGGUCUCUUGUGGUCUCUGGUUCCUUGGGGACCAGACAAAUUGCACUUGGAAGCAACAAAAAAGACAUUUAAUUAGCAAGGAGCAAAACCACACCUGAAAAGAUGCAGUGUGUAGGGAGAUACUUGCUCUUAUGCUUCUUUAUGUUCUGUCCUACUCGAUCAAGGCCAGGUUGGAUGGGGCUUUGUGCAACCUGGUCUAGUCGAAGGUGCCUAUGGCAGUGGGGGUGGAACUGAGAGAUUUUUCAAGUUCCUUCCAACCCAGUCCAUUCUGUGUUUCUAAGAUUACUUCAGCUUUCUUCUGCUGAAAAUGUUGAAUGGUCUAGUUGUAAUAAACUUGUAAUAAAUUAUUGCUAUUCUGAGUUUAAAGUUUUUCUGUCAUCUUUAGAGUGUUGUUUGUAAGGAAAGGAUUUAAAAGCUUUGGAUCAUACUUCUGUCUUAUCAAGGCUACUAUCACAACUUUUCUGUUAUUCUGCAGCAAGCAGCUGCAGAUACAGUUUUGUGUUCUUUUUAUUGCACAGGUUACUAGUGCCAACAUGUUUUUAUUUCUGGAGCAUGGGAGAGACUGAAAUACAUCCCCUUAGUCAGGCAGAGUCUAAUUGUGAAACUGCUUGUCGCACAGGAUUUCGAGGAGUACUGCACCUCUCCUAAGGAGGCAUCCUGUAACAUAGGUGAAGUUGCAGAGCAAAUGGAAAUAAAAUCUUCUGAGGGAUGCAGACUGAGAGGAAAAGAUGCAAUAUGAGAAACAUGUACUGAGGUAUGAGGGGAAAAGCCUUCACUGGGUCAAGCAACUGGAACAGGUUGUCCUGAGAAACUGGACAAAGGGGUGUGACUGGACAAGCCUCUAAGAAACCCCACCUCACUGUGAAUCUGCCUUCAGCAGGUUUGCAUAGGUGACAUCCUUCUGAUCUCAAAAUUUUGUUUAUUUUUAAGACAUUGCUAAAAUGUGUGUUGUUUUCUGGAGAUUUCUGAAUGAUCUAACGUUUGAUCUGCUUACAAAUAAACUAUUUUAGCAGGAUAUCUGAACCUUCAGCAACAUUUCCCUGUCAUACUCUUGGACAGUAGUAUUGGAAAAAGUUGUGACUGUGUGUUUUGGAGCGCUUUCAUGGGUGGUGCUGUUGUGUUCUGGAGACUUCACACUCAGACACUUCAAAGCCUUUCUGUCUAGUAUCUUCCAAACUCACCCACCCUUGUUCUAACCCCACCAACCUCACUGAUCACUGAAAAUGCUGAGCAGUUUUCAAAAUGCCAGCCCUGCUUCUCAGUGAGAACUUCAGAUCUCUUGGUGUGGAUAGAGGGAGGAAUGCAGUAAAAUUGUUUUAAGCAAGGAUGCAGGAGAUGCCAGUGGCCAUGGCAGUUCUCUUCAGCGCCAGCACUGCUUCCCCAGCAGGUCUGCCUGUGUCCAUGCAGCUGAUGUCCUUUCUGCCUGCUGUCCCCAGUGCCAUCAGUGUCACCUCCCAGCUGUAAAUAAGCUGUUGCAGCAGAGGGAGGAGCUUGGUGGGAGCGAGCUGGGGGGACAGGGGUGUGUGUGGAGGGCGGGGAUGGUAUGUGGCUUGCAGCUGCCUUAGACGAGUCUGGCACAUUACUUGUGGUUACAGCACUCUUCCCCAGCUGAGGCUGGUUUCUAGCCAGCUGGUUUCUUCUGAGGUCUCUAGUAACCACUGGGACCUUGCAGAGAUCUGAGCCAUAGCAGCCUCAGAAACACCCCCUGUCUGACAGUGGGACCAUGCUGUGGACUGUGGCACUGUUUGCCUCCAUGUCACCUUCUCCUUCAUAAAAUGCUCUGUCAGUGCCCCUUGCACAUCAGUUUGAACUACAGCUCAAACUACAUUCAGGUGAACAUGUCCUGCCUGGGUAUUUGGUCUUUGAGAAUUCUUUGGGCGUUUGGUCAUUUCCAGGACCAGCUCACCAAGGUAAGUGUGGACAACAGCUGGUGAUGUUCUCCAGCAGUCAGUAGCUUUAGUAAAAAGUGUUCAUUGAGCCCCUCAAUAGACUUCUCCAUACUUAUUCUACAUAUUUUUAGUACCAACUCUUAAUGCAUUAAGCUACUGGGUGUAAAUAAAUAAAGGAUCGUCAAUUGAUAUGGUCUGCUGUUU